GACGAACGCUGGCGGCGUGCCUAAUACAUGCACGUCGAACGCAGUGGGGACGGGUGAGUAACACGUUGGUAACCUCCCAUCAGAGGGGAUAACACUUGGAUACAGGUGCUAAACCGCUACUGAUGGAUGAACCCGCGGUGCAUUAGCUAGUUGGUGAGGUAACGGCUCACCAAGGCGACGAUGCAUAGCCGAGCUGAGAGGGUGAUCGGCCACACUGGGACUGAGACACGGCCCAGACUCCUACGGGAGGCAGCAGUAGGGAAUCGUGGACAAUGGACGAAAGUCUGACCGAGCAACGCCGCGUGAGUGAAGAAGGUUUUCGGAUCGUAAAACUCUGUUGUUGGGGAAGCGGUAACUAACCAGAAAGCCACGGCUAACUACGUGCCAGCAGCCGCGGUAAUAC
rnacentral:rRNA from 1 species